CCAAAACAAAAUGGACAAAAAAAAAGUGGAGAAAACUGAAGUGGACAGAGGAGCAGAGCCUGCUGUUGGCACAGCUGGUUGCUGAGAAGAGGACUGUUAAAAGGUAUUGUCCCAGUAUCACAAAGAGGCAGAAUUGGGAGCGCAUUGCCAAGCAGAUCAAUGCGUCGUUCCCUCUGCUUUCAGCACCAGCCUGGAAUGUGAGCAGUUCUGGUUCCUGCUGCGAUCGGGUGCAAGAGAGGAGAUAGCAGCACACCAGAGAACUUCUCCACAGACGGCUCAGCAUGCCACACCUAGAGACGUCUGGAAUGAAAAGCCUUUCUGAAAUGAACGUCGUGUUUACCCAAGAGAAGAUACCUCUCUUCUCUCCGAGGCGUCACAUCAUGCUGACCUAUUUUAGAAAUCUGAUGCUCAAGGACGGGGAGACUGAGACCCUGGUUUGGUUGUAUCCUCUGGCCGUUCUCAAUUCUUGCAAGAAUUAAUAAAAGUGCCACUUUGAUUCUCACCAU